CUGCCGGCGCCGCCCCGCGGCGGCUGCGCGGCGCUGCCCGCGGGGCGGGGCGGGUGGCGCGCUAAAAUGGCGGCCAAGGGCUCCCACUCCCAUGUGAAGCUGGAGGGGGAGAUCGAGCGGUGCCGCGCCGAGGGCCACUGGGGCCGGCUGCACCGCCUGGUGCGGCAGCUGCUGCCGGCGGCCGGGGCCCCGCGCAAGGCGGCGGUGGGGGGCGCGCAGGACGCGGAGGACUAUGGGAGUAUGCUGCUCGCAGAGGCUCUGCUGGAAGAAUGUUUGAAGGAAAACUUUGCCAAGUUGAAGGACUCUAUUCCGCUAGUAGAAAAGAAUGAACCAAAACUGAAUGAAGCUAAACGGUAUUUGACCAAUAUCCUAAACAGAGGAAAACUACGACCUAAGUAUAUGACAGAAGCUAUGCUGAUCCUAGGAAAGCUUCAUUAUGUGGAGGGAUCCUACAGAGAUGCCAUCAGCAUGUAUGCAAGAGCUGGAAUUGAUGACCUCUCGAUAGGAAAUGAACCACUGUACAUGCUACGUUUGGUGACGGAAGCCUUUGUUAUUAAAGGUCUGUCACUGGAGCGCUCAACCAACUCAGUUGCCUCACGUGCUCGAUUGUGUGAAAGGGAGGAGGAAGUCAUGGCUUGUUUUGAGACAGCAUGUGUCAUUGCCCAAGUGUACUUGCAGGAGCUUGAAAAGACCUUAAACAACACGCAUUCAAGGAGUAUAAAGGGCAGCAAUGUGACUUACUCUGAGUUUGAACUGUCCUACUUCCUGGAAGCCGCUCUCCAGAGUGCCUAUGUGGCUCAUUUAAAGAAGGGAAAUAUUGUGAAAGGAAUGAGGAGUCUGCGAGAAGUAUUACGGAAUGUGGAAACAAAAGCUACUCAGACCUUCAAAAUGACUGCAGCCAAGCAGCUAGCCCAAGUGCUUCUCCAUUCCUUAAGUGAAGACUGUUACUGGAGCCCUUUAUCUGAUCCUCUUCCUGAGUUCAUGGACAAGGAAGAUCAGUCUUAUGUUAGCAAUCUUCUCUGUCGGAGGCCUCAGCUAUACACAGGAGAUAACCUGUACUGCCCUCAAGACAACGUAGAAGAGGCUCUUCUUCUCCUCUUAAUCAGUGAAUCUAUGGCAAACCGGGAUGCAGUAAUCAGCCGUGCCCCUGACCAGCAGGAUGACCGAGCUGUCAGCCUCCAGGAUGCCUCUGCAGUCUAUGACCUCCUCAGUAUCACGCUGGGCAGAAGAGGGCAGUAUGUCAUGCUUUCUGAGUGCUUGGAGAGAGCCAUGAAGUUUGCAUUUGAUGAAUUCCAUCUCUGGUACCAGCUUGCCCUGUCCAUGGUCGCUUGUGGAAAGUCAGCAUAUGCUGUGUCCGUGCUCAAAGAGUGUGCUAAGCUGCGACCUACAGAUCCCACCGUUCCUCUUCUGGCUGCCAAGGUCUGCAUUGGGCCACUGCACUGGCUGGAGGAAGGAGAACGCUUCGCUAAAAUGGUGAUAGACCUAGGUGAGGAUGCUGGAGAGUCCGUAGCAAAGGGUUACCUGGCACUGGGCCUGACAUACAGUCUUCAAGCUACUGAUGCUACCCUGAAGGGCACUCAGGAUGAAUUAAACAAGAAAGCACUUCAGACUUUGGAGAGAGCACGUGACUUGGCCCCGGAAGAUCAUCAGAUCAUCCUCUACUUAUCACUGCAGCUGGCUCUUGUCAGACAGAUUUCUGAUGCUCUAGAAUAUCUUCAGGAAGCACUGAAACUGUGCAAAGAUGACAUGAAUUCACUUCAUCUGCUGGCCCUCCUCUUUUCAGCUCAGAAACACUAUCAGCAUGCACUGGAUGUCAUUAACAUGGCUGUUGCUGAAUACCCAGAAAGCUUUAGCUUACUCUUCACCAAAGUAAAACUGGAAUGGGUACAUAAAGGACCUGAAGAGGCUCUAGUGACUUGCAGACAUAUGUUGCAGAUGUGGCAGAUGGUAUAUAAUGUUUCACAGCACAGUGGCUCUGAGAAAGAAAGUAGUGUGACAGAAGUGCCAAUGAUCAAAAAGCAUAAUGGAAUGCAUCUCACGCUCCCGGAUGCUCAUGACACUGAUUCUGGAUCACAGCGAGCCUCUUCCGUUGCUGCAUCAAGACUGGAGCAGGCCAUGUCUGAAAUAACCAUGCAGAGCACUGCACUGAAACAAGGACCUGUGCAGCUGUGGACAACUCUUGAACAAAUUUGGCUACAAGCUGCUGAACUCUUCAUGGAGCAACAGCAUCUCAAGGAAGCAGGCUAUUGUAUCCAGGAGGCAGCUAGUCUUUUCCCCACUUCUCAUGCUGUACUGUACAUGCGUGGGAGGCUUGCAGAGAUGAAAGGCAAUUUGGAGGAGGCUAAGCAAUUGUAUGAUGAGGCACUCACAGUGAAUCCAGCUGGAGUGGAAAUUAUGCACAGCCUGGGCCCAGUGCUGAGCAGACUUGGGCGGAAGGACCUGGCCCAAAAGGUCCUUCGAGACGCAGUCCGGAUACAGAACACCAGUCACAGAGCCUGGAACAGCCUUGGGGAAGUCCUGCAAGCACAAGGGAAAAACGAAGCAGCUGUUGAAUGCUUCCUCACUGCUCUAGACCUCGAAUCCAGCAGUCCUGUCAUCCCUUUCACUGUCAUACCCCGGGAGCUCUGAAGCUUUGCCCUUCAGCGAAGCAUCUGCAUUCAAUGGACAGGCACAAAAAAAAGCAAAAAAAACCCCACAAAAAACAAAAACCCAUAACCACAGAGAAGAAACUCUGGAUUCAACAGAAAAGUGCCAUCGUAACCUGGAAUUGGGCAAAAUUCCAGGAUGGAGCUCAGGUCUACAUGCUUAGCCGAGAGAAGCCUAACUUUAGGACAAUAUGCAACAGGCAGGGAAAAAAAUGCAUUUUUUCUUCACAGAUACCUGGCUAAACUCCUGUUCAAGUUAACAGCAAGAUUUAUUUCAAAGUGUUGGUUCAAGGUGACUGACUGUAGCAUAGUUGAUGCUAGAGUGUAGCUGUUUGAAGCACUUGCACCUUUCAAUUUUUAUUAAAAUUGAAAUCCCCAAACCCUGAGUUAAAGCUCAGGCCUGCUCUAAGCAAGAGUAAAUGCACCAACUAACUUGAACCAAGCUGUGCUCAAGUUUGUGCUCAAGUAUGUGACUGUCUCCACAUGGGUCUGACAGAAUGACAAUUAGACUAUAUAGGGUGUUAGCAAGUGGUCAGAUAAACAGUUAUUUUAUCAGAAGUGAGAAGCAGCAAUGAGAAGCAGCAACACUCAUCACUGGUAAGUGGGAAGUCACCACUUAUCCAGCAGCAGCCAGGACUGUUCCUCUGACUUUCGCCUUCAGUGAACCAGCUCCUCCCUUCAGCUCCUGCAACCUAAGGCAAGGUCCCAAGUAGCUAGAUGCUAAAAGAUCCAGCUAAUUUCCCAUCUGAGUGCACCUCUUAGCAGAGAAACAUACUAGUUUGCAGCUAAAACUGCCGAAAGGGAUGGUGACACCACACCAUUGCAGAAGGGACCAUGAUGGUGCAAUCCUGCUCUGAGACAUGGUAUGCAGGCGGGCGCUCGCAACUUUGGCACUUCAUGAGUGUUUCAUACUUAGCCAUGCCAUUCGAAUACUGCUAACAUGGGGUUUAUUGGGAUCCUUUUUCUUUGUAACUUAACAUUUUUUUCUUGUAAGAUGUUUUCACCAGAUGAAUAAAUUGACCCUGUGGAAAGGAGGAAAAAAAAAAAGGGUGCUUCAUACAUAGUUA